AGAGUUUGAUCAUGGCUCAGAGCGAACGUUAGCGGCACGNNUAACACAUGCAAGUCGAGCGUGAAAGGGGCAACCUGAGUAAAGCGGCGCACGGGUGCGUAACACGUAGAUAACCUGCCCUAUGCAGGGGGAUAACGUCCCGAAAGGGACGCUAAUACCGCAUACAGCUCUCUGGGAUUCGUCCUGGGGAGGCAAAGGUUGGGACCCGCAAGGGCCAAUCGGCAUAGGAGGGGUCUGCGGCCCAUCAGCUAGUUGGUGAGGUAAUGGCUCACCAAGGCAAAGACGGGUAGCUGGUCUGAGAGGAUGAUCAGCCACACUGGUACUGGAACACGGACCAGACUCCUACGGGAGGCAGCAGUGGGGAAUCUUGGUCAAUGGGCGCAAGCCUGAACCGGCGAUGCCGCGUGAGUGAUGAAGGCCUUCGGGUUGUAAAGCUCUGUGGGGAGGGACGAAAAAGCGAGGUCUAAUAGGCUUCGUGUUGACGGUACCUCCUUAGCAAGCACCGGCUAACUCUGUGCCAGCAGCCGCGGUAAGACAGAGGGUGCAAACGUUGCUCGGAAUCACUGGGCGUAAAGGGCGUGUAGGCGGGAAGUAAAGUCAGAUGUGAAAUCCCUGGGCUCAACCCAGGAACUGCAUUUGAAACUCACUUUCUUGAGUACCGGAGAGGAAGGUGGAAUACCUGGUGUAGAGGUGAAAUUCGUAGAUAUCAGGUGGAACACCAGUGGCGAAGGCGGCCUUCUGGACGGUAACUGACGCUGAGNNGCGAAAGCGUGGGGAGCAAACAGGAUUAGAUACCCUAGUAGUCC
rnacentral:rRNA from 1 species